GACGUAGGGCGCGAGCGUUGUCCGGAUUUAUUGGGCGUAAAGAGCUCGUAGGCGGCUUGUCGCGUCGUUCGUGAAAACCCGGGGCCCAACUCCGGGCUUGCGGGCGAUACGGGCAGGCUAGAGUUCGGUAGGGGAGACUGGAAUUCCUGGUGUAGCGGUGAAAUGCGCAGAUAUCAGGAGGAACACCGGUGGCGAAGGCGGGUCUCUGGGCCGAUACUGACGCUGAGGAGCGAAAGCGUGGGGAGCGAACAGG
rnacentral:rRNA from 1 species